GAUGAAGAACGUAGUGAAAUGCGAUAAGUAAUGUGAAUUGCAGAAUUCAGUGAACCAUCGAAUCUUUGAACGCACAUUGCGCCCGGCAGUAAUCUGCCGGGCAUGCCUGUCCGAGCGUCAUUUCUCCCCUCGAGCGCAGCUUUCCCCCCCGGGGGAGGGCCGCGCCCGGUGUUGGGGCGCUACGGAGGAGCCCAGCGCUCCCCCGUAGGCCCCGAAAUGUAGUGGCGGCCCCGCCGCGGCGCCCCCUGCGUAGUAGUUUUACAACUCGCAUCGGGUCCCGGCGGAGGCCAGCCGUCAAACCCCCCAACUUCAAUAGUUUGACCUCGGAUCAGGUAGGGAUACCCGCUGAACUUAAGCAUAUAAUAAGCGGAGGA
rnacentral:misc_RNA from 1 species